GACGAACGCUGGCGGCGUGCCUAACACAUGCAAGUUGAGCGACGAACCAGGGCUUGCCCUGGGGCAAAGCAGCGAACGGGUGAGUAACACGUGGGUAACCUACCCCGAUAACCGGGACAACCCGAGGAAACUCGGGCUAAUACCGGAUGUGCUCACUGGACUUCGGUUCAGUGCGUAAAGGAAGCUUCGGCCUCCGUAUCGGGAGGGGCCCGCGGCCCAUUAGUUUGUUGGUGAGGUAACGGCUCACCAAGACCGCGAUGGGUAGCUGGUCUGAGAGGGCGAUCAGCCACACUGGAACUGAGACACGGCCCAGACUCCUACGGGAGGCAGCAGUGGGGAAUCUUGCGCAAUGCGCGAAAGCGUGACGCAGCAACGCCGCGUGGGGGAAGAAGGCCUUCGGGUUGUAAACCCCUUUUAGGAGGGACGAAGGUUCGGCGGUGAAUAGCCGUCCGGACUGACGGUACCUCCACAAGAAGCCCCGGCUAACUACGUG
rnacentral:rRNA from 1 species